AGCGAACGCUGGCGGCAGGCCUAACACAUGCAAGUCGAACGAACUCUUCGGAGUUAGUGGCGGACGGGGGAGUAACACGUGGGAACGUGCCUUUUUGUUCGGAAUAACUCAGGGAAACUUGUGCUAAUACCGAAUGUGCCCUUCGGGGGAAAGAUUUAUCGCAAUAAGAGCGGCCCGCGUCUUACUAGCUGGUUGGUGAGGUAACGGCGCACCAAGGCGACGCUCGGUAGCUGGGCUGAGAGGAUGGCCAGCCACACUUGGAGUGAGACACGGGCCGGACUCCUACGGGAGGCAGGAGUGGGGAAUCUAGCGCAAUCGGCUAAAGCCUGACGCAGCCAUGCCGCGUGAGUGAUGUAGGUCUGAGGAAUGUAAAAUUCUUUCACCGGGGACGAUAAUGACGGUACCCGGAGAAGAAGCCCCGGCUAACUUCGUG
rnacentral:rRNA from 1 species